ACGCUGGCGGCAGGCCUAACACAUGCAAGUCGAGCGGUAGCACAGGAGAGCUUGCUCUCUGGGUGACGAGCGGCGGACGGGUGAGUAAUGUCUGGGGAUCUGCCUGAUGGAGGGGGAUAACUACUGGAAACGGUAGCUAGUACCGCAUGACCUCGCAAGAGCAAAGUGGGGGACCUUAGGGCCUCACGCCAUCGGAUGAACCCAGAUGGGAUUAGCUAGUAGGUGGGGUAAUGGCUCACCUAGGCGACGAUCCCUAGCUGGUCUGAGAGGAUGACCAGCCACACUGGAACUGAGACACGGUCCAGACUCCUACGGGAGGCAGCAGUGGGGAAUAUUGCACAAUGGGCGCAGCCUGAUGCAGCCAUGCCGCGUGUAUGAAGAAGGCCUUCGGGUUGUAAGUACUUUCAGCGAGGAGGAAGGAUUUCGUGUUAACAGCACGGAAUAUUGACGUUACUCGCAGAAGAAGCACCGGCUAACUCCGUGCCAGCAGCCGCGGUAAUACGGAGGUGCAGCGUUAAUCGGAAUUACUGGGCGUAAAGCGCACGCAGGCGGUUGAUUAGUUGGAUGUGAAAUCCCC
rnacentral:rRNA from 1 species